GAUGAGCAUGCGUCCCAUUAGCUAGUUGGUAAGGUAACGGCUUACCAAGGCUACGAUGGGUAGGGGUCCUGAGAGGGAGAUCCCCCACACUGGUACUGAGACACGGACCAGACUCCUACGGGAGGCAGCAGUGAGGAAUAUUGGACAAUGGGCGCAAGCCUGAUCCAGCCAUGCCGCGUGCAGGAUGACGGUCCUAUGGAUUGUAAACUGCUUUUAUACGAGAAGAAACACUCCUUCGUGAAGGAGCUUGACGGUAUCGUAAGAAUAAGGAUCGGCUAACUCCGUGCCAGCAGCCGCGGUAAUACGGAGGAUCCAAGCGUUAUCCGGAAUCAUUGGGUUUAAAGGGUCCGUAGGCGGUUUAAUAAGUCAGUGGUGAAAGCCCAUCGCUCAACGGUGGAACGGCCAUUGAUACUGUUAGACUUGAAUUAUUAGGAAGUAACUAGAAUAUGUAGUGUAGCGGUGAAAUGCUUAGAGAUUACAUGGAAUACCAAUUGCGAAGGCAGGUUACUACUAAUUGAUUGACGCUGAUGGACGAAAGCGUGGGUAGCGAACAGGAUUAGAUACCCUGGUAGUCCACG
rnacentral:rRNA from 1 species